ensembl:snRNA U6 U6 spliceosomal RNA
UGCUAACUUUGACAGCAGUAGGCUAAAAUUGGAAUGAUACAGAAAAGAUGCAUGGCCCUUGCUUAGAGAUGACAUGCAAAUUCAUGAUGCAUUCUAAGGUCUC